GACAAAAACCACCUGAAGAGAGCGGAUUCACUUUAAUGCGGAUAAGAGGAAUUUGUGGAAGUGCUAAGUUGUUUAUCUCAUACAGAAGGGUGGCCAUUGAUUUCACAGCAUCCAAUGGGGACCCUCGAAACAGCUGCUCCCUGCACUACAUCAACCCCUACCAGGCCAAUGAGUACCUGGAGGCCUUGGUAGCAAUUAGGGAGAUAUGUCAAGAUUACGACAGGUUGGCUGAUCAAGACGACCGUUGACAAACAAAGGUGGAUGCGCUGAUGGACGAAGCGGCUUAUGAGAAAUUCAUCAAAUCGAUCGAUAACUAAGAGCCCUGCUGGAAGUCCAUGCUUCCUUUUUACAUAAAAACUUGAUCAAGGCUGUCUGAGAUCAGAAGAAGAACAGAAGAACUGUGGCAGAAGAACUGCGCCACAGCCGAUCGGCGUAGACAGCGCCCCGCUGAUUACACCUAUAAUUCAAUUAUUGGGAGCCGGCUGGCGUCAAUAAACGCCCGUUUCCCGUUUCAAUGAACAUAUGAGUGUAGCAUUGCACCCAAAGGUCUCAAUUAAACAGCUUUUAUUUCAAAUAUGCCAUCUUUGCUGGUAUCGUUCUACUGUGUCUGCAUGUGUGCAAUCUCCAAAAUCCAUCUCUUUACAAAUAUACUGUAUAAUGCAUAAUUUAGUCGUUCUAUCCGCUAUUCGUAAAAAAAGGAUUCUGAGCAUUUACUAAAAACAUUUACCGGUGAAGCGGUGA